rnacentral:misc_RNA from 1 species
GAUGAAGAACGUAGCGAAAUGCGAUAAGUAGUGUGAAUUGCAGAAUUCAGUGAAUCAUCGAAUCUUUGAACGCACAUUGCGCCCCUUGGUAUCCCGAGGGGCAUGCCUGUUCGAGCGUCAUUUCACCACUCAAGCCUGGCUUGGUGUUGGGCGACGUCCCCUUUAGGGACGCGCCUCGAAACGCUCGGCGGCGUGGCACCGGCUUUAAGCGUAGCAGAAUCUUUCGCUUUGGAAGUCGGGGCCCCGCCUGCCGGAAUACCUACUCGUAAGGUUGACCUCGGAUCAGGCAGGGAUACCCGCUGAACUUAAGCAUAUCAAUAAGCGGAGGA